UACGUAGGGGGCGAGCGUUGUCCGGAUUUAUUGGGCGUAAAGAGCUCGUAGGCGGUCUGUUGCGUCGGCUGUGAAAACCCGGGGCUCAACUCCGGGCCUGCAGCCGAUACGGGCAGACUAGAGUUCGGCAGGGGAGACUGGAAUUCCUGGUGUAGCGGUGAAAUGCGCAGAUAUCAGGAGGAACACCGGUGGCGAAGGCGGGUCUCUGGGCCGAUACUGACGCUGAGGAGCGAAAGCGUGGGGGAGCGAACAGG
rnacentral:rRNA from 1 species